rnacentral:rRNA from 1 species
AUUGAACGCUGGCGGCAUGCCUUACACAUGCAAGUCGAACGGCAGCACGGGAGCAAUCCUGGUGGCGAGUGGCGAACGGGUGAGUAACAUAUCGGAACGUGCCCAGUAGUGGGGGAUAACCCGGCGAAAGCCGGACUAAUACCGCAUACGACCUACGGGUGAAAGCAGGGGAUCGCAAGACCUUGCGCUAUCGGAGCGGCCGAUAUCAGAUUAGCUUGUUGGUGGGGUAAAAGCCUACCAAGGCGACGAUCUGUAGCUGGUCUGAGAGGACGACCAGCCACACUGGGACUGAGACACGGCCCAGACUCCUACGGGAGGCAGCAGUGGGGAAUUUUGGACAAUGGGCGCAAGCCUGAUCCAGCCAUGCCGCGUGCGGGAAGAAGGCUCGGUGUACACCGCUUUGUCAGGGAAGAACGGACUCGGGCGUAAUACCUCGGGCUAAUGACGGUACCUGAAGAAGAAG